rnacentral:tRNA from 1 species
GCCAUGAUAGCUUAUCAGGGAAAGCACAUGACUGAUAAUCAUGAAAUGCGGUUCGAUUCCGAUGUGGUGGCG